rnacentral:lncRNA from 1 species
GCAAACGUCAGUCAGUACAGAGCUUGCAUCUUGAAUGUUUACCAGAAAUCACUGUGUUGAGGCUUUGCUCCCAUGAUUCUGUGGAUAUAUAAGAAGAGGGAAACCUCUCUGAUGUUAUUGAAAGCUUGAGUGUCUUCAAUCUGAUUCACUUCUGGACACAUCAUGAUGCUACUUACCAAUUGCUUUUUUUCUUCUCUACUCUACUUAUUGCAAACUUUUCCACUGGAUCAAUUUAACCAUUGGAUACUUCUAAUGCCCAGGGUGAAAAGAACUGUUGGAAAAACCCACAUGAAGAAGGAACCAAAAAAAAAAAAAAAAAGAAAGAAGAAGAAGAAGAAGAAGAAGAAGAAGAAGAAGAAGAAGAAGAAGAAGAAGAAGGAACCAAGAAGUAAAUGAUAAAUCUAUCUACAGAUCAAAGACCACACAUUAGCAACUGCCACUGUGAAGCCUGAAAGUCCACCUGUUUUUAACUUAAAAUUCUAUGAACGCG